AUGUUGCCUUCUGGAUCCACCUCAACCCUACUCAGGGAGCCGCUCAGCUUCCUCAAGGGCCUGGAGUAGAUGGCUUCCAUCUUCUCUUUUGCCACCUGUGGAGGUUUUUAAGAGCAAACAGAAAUUCAAGUGAAUUGUCCUCCUACAGUUACUGACGAAACUAUUACAGCUACUUCUGAUUAUCCAUUCAGGUUAAAUCAGGCAUCAUUUCAGUCACCUCCAGGUAUUAAUGUGUAUGAUAUAAAUUGGAAAGUCAAGUCCUCCUAGGAGAUGACUGUGCUUCUGCACAAUUCCAUUACAUUUGCAGUCUCUGUCUUCCUGUACUGCAUUGCUGUCGUGCUUUAUGUUGGUUACAGGAACCUAUAUCAGGGUAGUCAUAAACUUCCCAUGAUUGGCUUUGUCAUUACUCUUGUUGCCAUCUUUUGCGAUUGGUGAGCACUUCAAAAGCUCGCUUGGGCAAAAGCUCUUGCAGAUAUUAAAAUAACUACUGGUCAAAAUAUUGUUCAGGAACUUCUGCUUGUAAGAAAUCAUAAUAAUGUGUUAUUUUGGCUCUGUGACCAGCAUGGGAUUCCUAAAUGUAUCUGUGAUCUUUGUCUUUCUGAAUAUGAUACUUUGGAGGGGAAAUGCUUGGCGUGUGUACAAGUAUGAGGAGACCAACUUACACAACCCAUCAAAUACUUAUGCUCCUCAUAGCCAAGGAGGUAUUCCACCUCCUGCUGGAAUGUAA
rnacentral:lncRNA from 1 species